GGCAGUAUAGGCUAUAGUCUCAUCUAAUGGGAAAGUGCAUUGUUUUUCAUUAAUAGGGUCUACUUUGUGAAAGUGAAUUUAUGUUUGUGCUGCAUGAAGAGUUAAUACAAGGUGUGUGUGUGUGUGCAUGUGUGUCUGUGUGUGUGUGUGGGGGGGUGGGGAUUUUAUUUUUG